rnacentral:rRNA from 1 species
CCCUUAGAUGUUCUGGGCUGCACGCGUGCUACAAUGGCGCUUGCAACAAGUCUUGCCAACCCGAUAGGGUGAGCGGAUCUUUGAAGAAGCGUCGUGAUCGGGACAGUUGAUUGCAAUUAUUCGACUCGAACGAGGAAUUCCUUGUAAUCGCGAUUCAUCAUAUCGCGCUGAAUACGUCCCUGCCCUUUGUACACACCGCCCGUCGCUCCUACCGAUUGAGCGAUCCGGUGAAUGUUUUGGACUGGCGUCAGAAGCGGUUCGCUCCUGACACUACGAAAUUUUGUAAACCUUAUCGCUUAGAGGAAGGAAAAGUCGUAACA